ACGUAGGUGGCGAGCGUUGUCCGGAAUUACUGGGUGUAAAGGGUGCGUAGGCGGAUUUGCAAGUCAGGUGUGAAAACUAUCGGCUUAACCGGUAGCCUGCACUUGAAACUGUGAGUCUUGAGUGGUGAAGAGGUAAGCGGAAUUCCUAGUGUAGCGGUGAAAUGCGUAGAUAUUAGGAGGAACACCAGUGGCGAAGGCGGCUUACUGGGCACUAACUGACGCUGAGGCACGAAAGCAUGGGGAGCAAACAG
rnacentral:rRNA from 1 species